rnacentral:rRNA from 1 species
UACAGAGGAUGCAAGCGUUAAUCGGAAUUACUGGGCGUAAAGCGUGCGUAGACGGUUAUGUAAGUCAGGUGUGAAAGCCCCGGGCUCAACCUGGGAAUGGCAUUUGAGACUGCAUAGCUAGGGUGCGGAAGAGGGAAGCGGAAUUUCCGGUGUAGCGGUGAAAUGCGUAGAUAUCGGAAGGAACAUCAGUGGCGAAAGCGGCUUCCUGGUCCAGCACCGACGUUCAGGCACGAAAGCGUGGGGAGCAAACAGG